GGCAUUGCGCAUGCGCGCUUCCUUGCGCGAGCCGGGCUGUCGGGUGUGUUUUGCUCUCCAGCUUCCGUCGUCUCUGCAGCACUCCGGGUUCUCCUCCAGAGCGCUAGUCCCAGGAGCUCGGAAUGUUCGUGGAACUUAAUAACCUGCUUAACACCACCCCCGACAGGGCGGAGCAGGGGAAACUGACUCUACUCUGUGAUGCCAAGACAGAUGGGAGUUUCCUUGUACACCACUUUCUCUCCUUCUAUCUCAAAGCUAAUUGUAAAGUCUGCUUUGUGGCACUCAUCCAGUCCUUCAGCCACUACAGUAUCGUGGGACAGAAGCUGGGUGUCAGCCUGACCAUGGCACGGGAGCGUGGGCAGCUUGUGUUCCUUGAGGGACUCAAGUCUGCAGUGGACGUCGUCUUCCAGGCUCAAAAGGAGCCACACCCCCUGCAGUUUCUCAGGGAGGCUAAUGCUGGGAACUUGAAACCAUUGUUUGAGUUUGUACGGGAGGCCCUGAAGCCAAUAGACAGUGGAGAGGCUCGGUGGACGUACCCGGUGCUGCUGGUGGACGACCUCAGUGUGCUCCUGAGCCUGGGCAUGGGGGCGGUGGCUGUGCUAGACUUCAUUCACUACUGCAGAGCCACCGUGUGCUGGGAACUAAAGGGAAACAUGGUGGUCCUUGUGCACGACAGUGGAGAUGCGGAGGAUGAGGAGAAUGACAUCCUGCUGAAUGGCCUCAGUCAUCAGAGCCAUCUGAUACUGCGGGCUGAGGGCCUGGCCACUGGCUUCUGCAGGGAUGUGCACGGGCAGCUGAGGAUCCUGUGGAGGAGACCAUCGCAGCCCACAGUCCACCGGGAUCAGAGCUUCACUUACCAGUAUAAGAUACAGGACAAAAGCGUGUCCUUUUUUGCCAAAGGAAUGUCUCCUGCUGUUCUGUGACCUGAUUUCGGAGCAGCUGAAGCUACAUAGGACUGUUUUUGGACGUGGAAGAUAGAGCAACAUAGCAAGAAUGGGUCUUUCUCCUCUGUAGUAAUAUUUCAGGCUGGACUGGCGACUCCACUGUGACCAGAGGGUUGAGUGCUGCAGUGAUAGCAUGCCUUGGCUGCCCUGGGCCCUGUUCAGAAAACACAAGGGACCACGAUCCUGCCUUUGCUGAGAGAGAGGCUGGAUGCUAGACCUAAGUGAAAGGGGUCCUUUGGAGCCUUUGUUUAAAUAUGCCUUAGCCCCAGCUGCCCAUUUUUGGUUGAUAAGCCUUUCAGAGCCAGAGUGGGUAUAGAUGUGCCAGCCAGGAGAUGGCACCGGAUGGCAGGUGUGCAAGGUGACAACUAGGAUAAUCAUGGCUGGAAUAAAUGUGUAGCACCACCGCCACCCCAGACCCCAUCUUGGUCCUGCUCCUGCCAUAUACGACACCUGCUCCUGCUUUGCCUUCCACCAUGAGUGAAAGCUCCCUUGAGGCCUCCCCAGAAGCAGAUGCUGUCAUGCUUCCUAUACAGCCUGCAGAACUGUGAGCAAAUUCAACCUCUUUUCUUUAUAAAUUACCCAGCCUCAGGUAUUUCUUUAUAGCAGUGUGGGAAUGGACUAAUACAGGGGUAGAAAAACAGGAUCAUAAGGUGUGAUAUGGGCCAUAAAAAUAUUCUACUAACAUGAGGCUGAUGUUCAUAGGAAAGAACAAUUAUUUCCCCCUAAAUUUUUUUUUCUUUUUUGUUGCGGGCACAGAAAAUUGGGGAAGAAUUUAUGGGGGCAGUGCUAUUUGAACAAGACCUUGUAAUGUUCCUGUUUCAUCUCUGAUGAAUUAAUUCUUCAGGACUCAAAAAUAUGUUUUUCUUUCUCACUGGAAUGAAGUUGCUAUUCUGUGCUUUCUAGUGUAAAAUAAUUUUUAAAAUAUGGAUAACAUUUCAACUCAUUUAAAAUUUGUAGGCCAGGUGCAGUGGCUCAUGACUGUAAUCCCAGCACUUUGGGAGGGUAAGACAGGUGGAUCACUUGAGGCCAGGAGUUCAAGACCAGCCUCAUCAACAUGGCAAAACCCUGUCUCUACUAAAAAUACACAAAUUAUCUGGGUGUGGUAGUGCAUGCCUGUCAUCUCAGCCACUC